CGCAUAGGAAUCUGCCUCGUAGUGUGGAAUAACGCUGGGAAACCAGGGCUAAUGCCACAUAUCUUCUACGGAAUAAAGCUGGGGACCUUCGGGCCUGGCGCUACGAGAUGAGCCUAUGUCCGAUUAGCUAGUUGGUGAGGUAACGGCUCACCAAGGCUGCGAUCGGUAGCUGGUCUGAGAGGAUGAUCAGCCACACUGGGACUGAGACACGGCCCAGACUCCUACGGGAGGCAGCAGUGGGGAAUAUUGGACAAUGGGGGCAACCCUGAUCCAGCAAUACCGCGUGUGUGAAGAAGGCCU
rnacentral:rRNA from 1 species